rnacentral:rRNA from 1 species
GAUGAACGCUAGCGGCAGGCCUAAUACAUGCAAGUCGAACGGUGGUAGCAAUACCAUAGUGGCGCACGGGUGCGUAACGCGUAACCAACCUGCCCGGAACUGGGGGAUAGCCCGCCGAAAGGCGGAUUAAUACCGCAUAUACCCGCAAGCUGGCAUCAGCCAACGGGGAAAGACUUAUUGGUUCCGGAUGGGGUUGCGUGACAUUAGCUAGUUGGCGGGGUAACGGCCCACCAAGGCGACGAUGUCUAGGGGACCUGAGAGGGUGAUCCCCCACACUGGGACUGAGAUACGGGCCAGACUCCUACGGGAGGCAGCAGUAGGGAAUAUUGGGCAAUGGACGAGAGGCUGACCCAGCCAUGCCGCGGGCCGGAUGAAGGCCUUCUGGGUUGUAAACGGCCUCUCUCAGGGAAGAAAACGACCAUGCGUGGUACACUGACGGUACCUGAGGAAUAAGCACCGGCUAACUCCGUGCCAGCCGCCGCAGUAAGAC